UACAGAGGGGGCAAGCGUUGUUCGGAAUUACUGGGCGUAAAGGGCGCGUAGGCGGCCCGCUAAGUCGAACGUGAAAUCCCCGAGCUCAACUCGGGAACUGCGUCCGAUACUGGCGGGCUUGAAUCCGGGAGAGGGAUGCGGAAUUCCAGGUGUAGCGGUGAAAUGCGUAGAUAUCUGGAGGAACACCGAUGGCGAAGGCAGGUCUCUGGGCAUUAACUGACGCUGAGGAGCGAAAGCAUGGGGAGCGAACAGG
rnacentral:rRNA from 1 species